rnacentral:rRNA from 1 species
AUUGAACGCUGGCGGCAGGCUUAACACAUGCAAGUCGAGCGGAGAUGAGGUGCUUGCACCUUAUCUUAGCGGCGGACGGGUGAGUAAUGCUUAGGAAUCUGCCUAUUAGUGGGGGACAACAUUCCGAAAGGAAUGCUAAUACCGCAUACGUCCUACGGGAGAAAGCAGGGGAUCUUCGGACCUUGCGCUAAUAGAUGAGCCUAAGUCGGAUUAGCUAGUUGGUGGGGUAAAGGCCUACCAAGGCGACUAUCUGUAGCGGGUCUGAGAGGAUGCUCCGCCACACUGGGAUUGAGACACGUCCCAGACUCCUACGGGAGGCAGCAGUGGGGAAUAUUGGACAAUGGGGGGAACCCUGAUCCAGCAAUGCCGCGUGUGUGAAGAAGGCCUUAUGGUUGUAAAGCACUUUAAGCGAGGAGGAGGCUACUGAGACUAAUACUCUUGGAUAGUGGACGUUACUCGCAGAAUAAGCACCGGCUAACUCUGUGCCAGCAGCCGCCGUAA